UACGUAGGGUGCAGGCGUUAAUCGGAAUUACUGGGCGUAAAGCGUGCGCAGGCGGUCUGCUAAGAGAGAUGUGAAAGCCCCGGGCUCAACCUGGGAAUUGCAUUCGAGACUGAAUAGCUAGGGUACGGUAGAGGGAAGUGGAAUUUCCGGUGUAGCGGUGAAAUGCGUAGAUAUCGGAAGGAACAUCAGUGGCGAAAGCGACUUCCUGGACCAGUACCGACGUUCAGGCACGAAAGCGUGGGGAGCAAACAGG
rnacentral:rRNA from 1 species